CUUUGGGAGGCUGAGGUGGGUGGAUCACCUGAGGUCGAGAGUUCGAGACCAGCCUGGUCAACAUGGUGAAACCCUGUCUCUACUAAAAAUACAAAAUUAUCCGGGCGUGGUGAUGCAUGCCUGUAAUCCUAUCUACUUGGGAGACUGAGGCAGGAGAAUCACUUGAACCCGGGAGGCGGAGUUCACGUGCCUGCUUGGUUUCCUAGAAUAUCUUCUCCAUAAGACAUGAGAUUCAAGCCUGGGAUAUUGUAGUGAAGAAGAGAGAAAGAGAAUGGCAACACCUGAGUUCCAGGAGUCAGCCUGCUAGUAGUAACAGCUAAGUCUUGGUGUUGCUAUGGGGUGGUCUGGCUCUUCAACUAGGCUUUGAUAUUCUUCUAUUGGACAUAAACAAUCUCAGAAAACGUUAAUAUCAGACAAGGCUAUUCUGUCACCAUGAUAGACCAAGACUAAGGCAAGACCACUUCAUAAUAAUUCCUGUACAAAGGCAAAAUAUGAACAUUGUCCACAUCAAAUAAGUGACUAAACAUUUCUUUAAACCAGUUAAUACGAGUGAAUGCUAUUUCCUUAUGAAACAGUGUUAGACUUGCUCUCAUCUAUCUCCCUUCUAGAUUAAACUCAGUCAUAGAAUUGUCUAAACUUUAUGAUAGCAUCCAAUCCAGAGUAAGCCCACUUCUUUCAAUCCUCCCGAAAAUCACUAAAGCAAAGUUCAGAUAGAGUAAGUCAUUUCUAAAACCCAUUUACAGAGAUGCUCCACAAUUCCCCAUGAUGUGCAUUGUCCUUUGCUACGAUGGGAAAUUAACUCAACUUGUUCAAAUACAGGUGUGUUCUUUUUUCUCCUUAGUAGAGGGCAUUGAAUACAAGAGAGAGAGAAGAGAACACAAAGCAGUUUCAGAAAAACACCCAAAAUAAAUCACAAGAAGUAUACCCAAAAUACUUGAAACUUUUCUUGUGUUCCACCAAAAUCUCUAAAUCCCAGAGUAUAUCCUUGAAUUUCAAUUCCAUCAUGUUAGAAUUUAUUUUCAAAGAUGGAGGAUAGAGUAAAUGGUCAAUGCUUCUCUGGUGCAGAGAGGGGUCUUCUUAAAUAUACCCCUAACUUUAUGUCCCAUUGAAAAAAGUAAUAAAAGUAAAUUAAUUAAGAGAAUAUUGACCUCUGAAAAAAUUGCUUGCUCCUUCUUACAGAUAUUUAUGUCAGAGCACAGGGAAUAGUAUUUUAUCACCUUCCUGACUUUUUAUUCCCAUUGCAUAAAUCUGUCAGUGAGCAAGCUCUAUCCCCAGCUGGGCUGGUCUAGCUACAAAAUAAGACAGGCAGAUACCAAUGCAAAACUGUGGUUUAUUUUUGAAAAACUUUUACCUCUGCUUUCAUUUUGGCUUUUAAUAAGUUUGACAAUUCUCAGCAUUUUUUUUUUUUGCUUUUUUGUCCAAAUUUCCUGCCUGAUGGGGAAGUCUGAGGAUGAUUAAUGUUCAAGAAAGUUGUGAGGAAAUGUGCCACCCAAGUUUAAUGCAUUAUUAUUUUACUAAAUCACAAUUUUCUUGGUGUCCAUAUCAGUAGCCUAACCUUAUGCAGUAAUAACUGAUUCAGACUUCAUUUAUAAAACGGAAGGGAAAAAUGCAAGAAUAAAAAGGAAGAGAAUUCACAGCAGAGCAAAGAGAAAUUACUGCCAUAUGAACUCUAACACUGUAGCAUUCUUUCACGGUCUGGUACUUUUUAAUCUUGAGUCAUAGAUGGAAAAAUAAAGGAAAAAAAUUGAGGCACAACCAUUCUACAGUAGGCAAGGCAAUUGAGAUUGCUUGGAUUCAUUACUCUGAACUCCAGCAAACAGCUACAGAAUGCCUAGAAUUCCCCAGACAUGACUAUUACAGCUCUCUGUGGUGGCUCAACAGACUUCGUUUUCAGAUAGGUUAUUUGGAGCACCAAUUUUCUUUCUAAAAAUCUUUGUUUUGGCCUUGAUUUGGAAAUAACCUAUGACCGUAGUAUUUAUUUUUCUGCUUAAGAAUUCAUAGAGAAUUUUGGUUUGGGCAGCAUGACAACUUUUACUUAAUAAAAAUAUGAGAAAAAUAUAUAGUUAUAUAGGCUGAUUCCUUUUCACAAUAACUCUACUGAGCUCAUAUAAUUCAAUCUAGUUUAUUUGUUUUUGUUUUCAUUUUUCUUUAUGUCUCUGACUGAGGCCCAGUGGGCACACUCAAUUUGGAAGGGUUUUAGAAAACAUGGCUGAAAAAUGAUGAAUUACGUAUGUAUUAAAUUGAUGUUCACAAUUUCCUGUAAGUAUAAUCUCUUUUCAUGAAAGUGAUGACUCUUUCAUAAUAGCUGAACUUUAUAAACACACGCACACACAAACUAAAUUAAAUUAAAUUAAAUAUGUCCAGGUAAUAUUUCUAAAUAUAUAUAGAAAGUUAAUCUAAAUUCUAAAUACCUUGUUGAUGUAUGCAGUAUUUUAAAGUCAUUUGGGGGAUAACAAUUCUGGCAUUGUCCUAUAGCAACAAUAAAGAGAGGCAGUUUAAAAACAGCAAUGUAAAGAAGGAUUUCAAGCCAACAUUAAUGGUGUGAUUUAGUCAAGCCCUUUUUAUUGUGGAAUUUUAUAAACCAUUCAAAAUUAUACUUAUAGCUAACAUUUCAAUAUAUUAAAAAUGCUCACAAUAAAAAUUAAUUUCUAAAAAGGCAAAUGAAUGGAGGAUGCAUAUGCAAUAUGUCCUUAACUAUAAAUAUGUUGAAAGAUGAGAGAUCAUGUGGCUGAUAGGCCAGUUGAUACAUAAUAAAAAGAAUAAAUAUAAAGAGACAAAGAGAGAAAAAAAGGAAUAAGAAAGGAAGAACAUAAAGGAAGAAGGAAGAGAGGGAGAGAGGAAGAAAGCAAUAGACGGAGGAAAGGAAAAGGUAGGAGGAAAAAAGACAAAGCUAGCAGGAAACCAAUAUAUAUAUAAUAAAUAUUAAUGUUAAGAAUAUAUUAAUUAAUGGAAGUGUUAAUGAUCUGUGAGUGGUCUGCCCAGAUGUGAUUCUUACUAUACUAUUACAUAGCCCAAAUUUUCUUAAUUGGACAUACAUUUUCUGUAGCCAGAAAAUUAAAAUAUUAAUUUCAGAAAAAAAUUGUUAUUUCUAUCCUCUAAAUGCAUGCCCCAAUGAAUAAUAGUCAAAUAUUAAAAUUACACACACAAAAGUUGUGAAAUAGAAGACUAUAUAUAUUUUUUCAUUAACAUAAACAGAAAAAUUCCUACUAGCUCUUCACAUCAGGAUUUGUAUGACCCAUUAACGUGUUCAAAUGCAACAUUGCUCAUUAAAGGAAGAGUUCUUACAACUCAAUUCAAGGCAAUAAGGCCCCAGCAACUGACCUCACAGGAAUAGUCCCUUGCUUCCUAGCUUGGCAGCACCCCACACUGUUGGUCUUGCAACAGCCAUUCUAAGUCUUUUGGAGAAUUUAAUCAAUUUACAUUUAAAGCAAUUUUUGAAAGGUAAGAACUCACUAUUGCAAUUUUGUUAAUUAUUUUCUAUUUUGCAAUUUCUCUCUUCCUUUCUUCCUUUUUUUACUAUCUUCCUUUGUGUUUUGAUAAUUUCUGGUAAUGUUAUGCUUUGAUUUAUUUCUCUCUGUAUCUUUUGUGUAUCCACUACAGGUUUUGUCUUUGUGAUUACUGGGAGGCUUAUGUAAAAUAUUUUGUAGUUAUAGCAGUCUACUUUAAAUGAAUAAAAAAUUAGCCUUGAUAGCAAAGAAAUAUUAUACUUUUAUUCCCUCCUUACAUGUUAUUAUUAAUGUAACAAAUUACAUAUUUUUACAUUGUGUAACUAUUUACAAAUUAUUGUACUGUAGGUAUUUGUAAUACUUUUGUCUUUUAACUUUUGUAUUAAAGUGAAAGUUAUUUAUUCACCACCAUUUCAGUAUUAGAACAUUCUGGACUCUAAUCUUUAUAGGAUUAGACUAUAUAAUUACCUUUACCUGUGAAUUUUAUACCUUCAUACUUUUUCAUGUUUCUAACUAGUGUCCUAUCAUUUCUUUUUUAUUUCCAUUUUUAUUUUUUAUUAUUAUACUUUAAGUUCUAGGGUACAUGUGCACAACGUGCAUGUGUCCUAUCAUUUCUUUUUUUUUUUUUUUUUUCUAGACGUAGUCUCGCUCUGUCCCCCAGGCUGGAGCGCAGUGGCACGAUCUCGGCUCACUACAAGCUCCGCCUCCCGGGUUCCCGCCAAUCUCCUGCCUCAGCCUGCCGAGUAGAGUAGCUGGGACUACAGGCGCCCGCCACGACGUCCGGCUAAUUUUUUGUAUUUUUAGUAGAGACGAGGUUUCACCGUGUUAGCCAGGAUGGUCUCCAUCUCCUGACCUCGUGAUCCACCGGCCUCGGCCUCCCAAAGUGCUGGGAUUACAGACGUGAGCCACUGCGCCCGGCUGUGUCCUAUCAUUUCAACUUGGUAAAGACUUCGCCUGGCUGAUGGAGAUCACAGUUAAGUGGGAAUGAAAACAGGUUCUGUGUCCAUGCCAAGUCUACAGUUGGGUUAAUAGUUGGCAAGUCUGCUACCAGGGCCACAUAUGGUUGUGGCUUCCACCAGGCCUAUGAGCAGUACUGCCUCCAGACCAAGGGAAAGCUGGACUGGAGUUGGGUCAUGGAACUGCUUUAAAGACCAUAGUUGGGUCCAAGGUCUGCAGGUCCUAUUACUAGGAGCACACACAGGUGUGGCUCCCAAGUCCUUUGGUGGAAGUGGCUGAAGGCAGCAGUGUGUGGACUUACUUCUCAAAGAGGCACUCCUUGGCCUUGGAUCUAACAAUUGUUUUAUAACCAGCUAUUUGGAUCCCAAGACUCUCACAAAGUCAAAUUUGUCUGUUUAUGCCACCAAAUAUUUGUUUCUCUGGGACGACACAGGCUUGGGACCCCCUCUUCUGCCAUCCUGCUGAUGGCAUUCUCAUUACUUUUUUAAAAAAUUUGUAUUCUACUGAACUUAUGUUUACUUUUUGUAACCCGCAUUAAAAAAAUUUAUUGCAUUCCUUACCCUAUUGCAUUAUUUUCUAUGUAUAUUUGUAAGAGAUCAUUUGAUUUCCUGACCCAUCUUCUGUGAAAAGAACUAUAUUUAAAUAUAUAAUAAUCCAUAAACUUUGCACAAUUUUUAAUUACUUGAAAAUUAAUCAACUUUCCUUCAUAAGUUGAUAAUAUGGUUAUGAAUUGUCUGAGUGCUAUUGUACAGGAGAUGUGGCAGAUUUCAAUACUGUUGAAAUAUUCACUGCCCCUUCUCAGCCAAUUAUAAUUUCCUGCUCCAAGAUCUCAAACUUUGCCAUGCAACUUGUUUUAUUCUAUAAAAUGUGAAUAAAAGUAACUUGUUCCACUUUCUGGGUAU
rnacentral:lncRNA from 1 species